rnacentral:rRNA from 1 species
GAUGAACGCUGGCGGCGUGCCUAAUACAUGCAAGUCGAGCGAACGGACGAGAAGCUUGCUUCUCUGAUGUUAGCGGCGGACGGGUGAGUAACACGUGGAUAACCUACCUAUAAGACUGGGAUAACUUCGGGAAACCGGAGCUAAUACCGGAUAAUAUUUUGAACCGCAUGGUUCAAAAGUGAAAGACGGUCUUGCUUUCACUUAUAGAUGGAUCCGCGCUGCAUUAGCUAGUUGGUAAGGUAACGGCUUACCAAGGCAACGCUGGAUAGCCAACAUGAGAGGGUGAUCGGCCAGACUGGAACUGAGACACGGUCCAGACUCCUACGGGAGGCAGCAGUAGGGAAUCUUCCGCAAUGGGCGAAAGCCUAAGGGAGCAACGCCGCGUGAGUGAUGAAGGUCUUCGGAUCGUAAAACUCUGUUAUUAGGGAAGAACAUAUGUGUAAGUAACUGUGCACAUCUUGACGGUACCUAAUCAGAAAGCCACGGCUAACUACGUG